rnacentral:rRNA from 1 species
CCUACGGGAGGCAGCAGUGGGGAAUAUUGCGCAAUGGGCGAAAGCCUGACGCAGCGACGCCGCGUGAGGGAUGAAGGUCUUCGGAUCGUAAACCUCUGUCAGCAGGGAAGAACGGUCACUGUGCUAAUCCGCAUUGAAUUGACGGUACCUGCAAAGGAAGCACCGGCUAGCUCCGUGCCAGCAGCCGCGGGAAUACGGAGGGUGCGAGCGUUAAUCGGAAUUACUGGGCGUAAAGCGCUCGUAGGCGGUAUGCCAAGUCAAGGGUGAAAUCUCCGGGCUCAACGGGGGAACUGCCUUUGAAACUGGCAAACUGGAGUGUGGUAGAGGAUAGUGGAAUUCGAGGUGUAGGAGUGAAAUCCGUAGAUAUCUGGAGGAACAUCAGUGGCGAAGGCGACUAUCUGGCACAUAACUGACGCUGAGGAGCGAAAGAGUGGGUAGCAAACAGGAUUAGAUACCCCUGUAGUC